rnacentral:lncRNA from 1 species
UCCGUGUAAUUUCGAAACUUCAAACACGCAUUCCUCGAAAUAGCCAAUACUGUAAUUAUGCGCCUUGUCCUCCGAGCCCCUCAAAUUAGAGUAAAGUGCGGUUUCAUGUCAGGAGAACUUUGACCCUUUGAGUGACGGCAUUGCCGGUGUUAGCCACUAGCCAUUCCUCUCGUCUCCAAAGGCUGCGAAGAGGGGUUGCUCUUUAACCCCGCAAUAUCUGUACACGACAUUAGACAAUGGCAAUGACUCUUCACAUCGCCUCCUCAGCGUUCACACAGAUAUCACCGAGGUGUCUUGAAGAAGCGCCCCAAGAGGAAGGCCCAAACGCUUCUCUGACUUCGUUGUGUUCGUUUCGUGUUCAGCUCCUGCGUCUCCUGAUUUCGUGUUCAAAAUGGUUCAAAUUUGCUUGCUGGGUCUCGUAGAACGUGCUAGUGCUGAAUUUCAACCGGAGCGCAUCGCAAAAUAUUUCGAUCGGCCUGAAUUGACUAUUUUCUAUGAGCGGGAUGGGGGCCAGGUGACUGCUCGCACCAAUUUUCAAACACAGCUUGGAAUACAACUCCGGGCAUUUAAGGGCCAUAUGCGGGGUUGGGUCUCCUUAAGAUGGGAUCGCGACUACAAUCAAUUCCGAAUGGAAAUUUCUACUCCGUGUGGACUUAAACAACGGAUUAUUCUGGUUGAGACCAGAGCCGGAGUAUCAGCUCUGAACGAGGAGCUCCAUCAACAGUUCUUCAACUCGACCGCUGGUGACUGGGAUGACUGGGUCAACAAAAUUGAAGCUGAGUUCAGGAUUUUCCGAGAGGCUCGAGCAGCCUAUAAAAAUCAAUUGAGAUUACUAGGUCAACAAAAUCCAGACUUCAUUUGA